GACGAACGCUGGCGGUGUGCUUAACACAUGCAAGUCGAACGGUAAGGCCCUUUCGGGGGUUCACGAGUGGCGAACGGGUGAGUAACACGUGAGUAACCUGCCCUCAUCUCUGGGAUAACAGUCGGAAACGGUUGCUAAUACUGGAUAUGAGCUUGCAAGGCAUCUUGUGGGUUGGAAAGAUUUUUUUGGUUGGGGAUGGACUCGCGGCCUAUCAGCUUGUUGGUGAGGUAGUGGCUCACCAAGGCUUCGACGGGUAGCCGGCCUGAGAGGGCGACCGGCCACAUUGGGACUGAGAUACGGCCCAAACUCCUACGGGAGGCAGCAGUGGGGAAUAUUGCACAAUGGACGGAAGUCUGAUGCAGCAACGCCGCGUGCGGGAUGACGGCCUUCGGGUUGUAAACCGCUUUCAAUUGUGACGAAGCUUUUUGUGACGGUAGCAGUAGAAGAAGCACCGGCUAACUACGUG
rnacentral:rRNA from 1 species